UAUCACCCUGAACGCGCCGACCCCGGCUGGUUUUGGAAGCGAAGCAGGGUCAGGCCUGGUUCGUACUUGGAUGGGGACACUGGGGAACGUGGGG
rnacentral:rRNA from 1 species